GUCUAUGUCAGCCAUGUUAAUUCAGUCUUUGCCAUGCUGUCUUUUCGUCUGCUGCCAUCCUGCUUCUGUUUGAGCCAGAGACCUCAUCGUCUAGAAAUCUAAUACUGACAGGCCUCUCUGGGACUCCUGAGAUGGGUACGGUCCAUCCAUGGAAACAUCCUGGGAGAUCGUGAUUGCUUCUUUCAUGGCUGCUAGAAGUCCAUUCCCACCGUCACCUCUGAGCGCGGGGCCAAAACACUCCGGGUGGCGAAUCAACAACCUCAGCACCUCAUAGGCGUUCUCCUCCACGCUCUCACCUUCAGGCAAGGAGAGAAGCGUAAAGAAAAGAAGCAUAAAACACAGAGUCGGACAGCUCUGGAGACAACUGCUAGCAAGAUCUGGUUCCCUUAAAGCUAAAGCCAGUUCAUUAUUAUCCAUAACAGAGGCUGCAGCCACGUCAAGGGGAGUGGAACCACGCAUGGAGGGCAAAGCUAAAAAAGAAAAUUCAUCACUUCCAUUUUUUUUCCCAUCAGAAAAUUGCAUUCUAAAUAAUGAUAUGCAGAGUCAAAACAAUUUAAUAAAAGAAACUCGUUGCACCCAAUUGUUUUAGAAUAGAAUUUGCAUAUUUUUCUUGGGUUGACACAAAUAAUUUCAGUUCUAC
rnacentral:lncRNA from 1 species